rnacentral:rRNA from 1 species
GAUGAACGCUGGCGGCGUGCCUAAUACAUGCAAGUAGAACGCUGUAGGAAGGAGCUUGCUCUUUCCGGAUGAGUUGCGAACGGGUGAGUAACGCGUAGGUAACCUGCCUGGUAGCGGGGGAUAACUAUUGGAAACGAUAGCUAAUACCGCAUAACAGUAGAUGUUGCAUGAUAUCUACUUAAAAGGUGCAAUUGCACCACUACCAGAUGGACCUGCGUUGUAUUAGCUAGUUGGUGAGGUAACGGCUCACCAAGGCGACGAUACAUAGCCGACCUGAGAGGGUGAUCGGCCACACUGGGACUGAGACACGGCCCAGACUCCUACGGGAGGCAGCAGUAGGGAAUCUUCGGCAAUGGACGGAAGUCUGACCGAGCAACGCCGCGUGAGUGAAGAAGGUUUUCGGAUCGUAAAGCUCUGUUGUAAGAGAAGAACGAGUGUGAGAGUGGAAAGUUCACACUGUGACGGUAGCUUACCAGAAAGGGACGGCUAACUACGUG